UACGUAGGGGCCAAGCGUUGUCCGGAUUUAUUGGGCGUAAAGAGCUCGUAGGCGGUUGGGUAAGUCGGGUGUGAAAUUUCGGAGCUUAACUCCGAAACUGCAUUCGAUACUGCGGUGCUUGAGGACUGGAGAGGAGACUGGAAUUCAUGGUGUAGCAGUGAAAUGCGUAGAGAUCAUGAGGAAGACCAGUGGCGAAGGCGGGUCUCUGGACAGUUCCUGACACUGAGGCACGAAGGCCAGGGGAGCAAACGGG
rnacentral:rRNA from 1 species